rnacentral:tRNA from 1 species
UGACCUCCGCCCACCCUUAGCGAC